rnacentral:rRNA from 1 species
GAGUGAACGCUGGCGGUAGGCCUAACACAUGCAAGUCGAACGGCAGCACAGUAAGAGCUUGCUCUUACGGGUGGCGAGUGGCGGACGGGUGAGGAAUACAUCGGAAUCUACUUUUUCGUGGGGGAUAACGUAGGGAGACUUACGCUAAUACCGCAUACGACCUACGGGUGAAAGCAGGGGAUCUUCGGACCUUGCGCGAUUGAAUGAGCCGAUGUCGGAUUAGCUAGUUGGCGGGGUAAAGGCCCACCAAGGCGACGAUCCGUAGCUGGUCUGAGAGGAUGAUCAGCCACACUGGAACUGAGACACGGUCCAGACUCCUACGGGAGGCAGCAGUGGGGAAUAUUGGACAAUGGGCGCAAGCCUGAUCCAGCCAUACCGCGUGGGUGAAGAAGGCCUUCGGGUUGUAAAGCCCUUUUGUUGGGAAAGAAAAGCAGCGGGUUAAUACCCCGCUGUUCUGACGGUACCCAAAGAAUAAGCACCGGCUAACUUCGUG